rnacentral:rRNA from 1 species
GACGAACGCUGGCGGCGUGCUUAACACAUGCAAGUCGAGCGGUAAGGCCCUUUCGGGGGUACACGAGCGGCGAACGGGUGAGUAACACGUGGGUGACCUGCCCUCAGCUCUGGGAUAAGCCUGGGAAACCGGGUCUAAUACCGGAUAUGACUCCAUGACGCAUGUUGUGGGGUGGAAAGCCUUGUGCGGCUGAGGAUGGGCCCGCGGCCUAUCAGCUUGUUGGUGGGGUGAUGGCCUACCAAGGCGACGACGGGUAGCCGGCCUGAGAGGGCGACCAGCCACACUGGGACUGAGACACGGCCCAGACUCCUACGGGAGGCAGCAGUGGGGAAUCUUGCGCAAUGGGCGAAAGCCUGACGCAGCGACGCCGCGUGAGGGAUGACGGCCU